AAGUCGAUGCGAAUGGAUUAAGAGCUUGCUCUUAUGAAGUUAGCGGCGGACGGGUGAGUAACACGUGGGUAACCUGCCCAUAAGACUGGGAUAACUCCGGGAAACCGGGGCUAAUACCGGAUAACAUUUUGAACCGCAUGGUUCGAAAUUGAAAGGCGGCUUCGGCUGUCACUUAUGGAUGGACCCGCGUCGCAUUAGCUAGUUGGUGAGGUAACGGCUCACCAAGGCAACGAUGCGUAGCCGACCUGAGAGGGUGAUCGGCCACACUGGGACUGAGACACGGCCCAGACUCCUACGGGAGGCAGCAGUAGGGAAUCUUCCGCAAUGGACGAAAGUCUGACGGAGCAACGCCGCGUGAGUGAUGAAGGCUUUCGGGUCGUAAAACUCUGUUGUUAGGGAAGAACAAGUGCUAGUUGAAUAAGCUGGCACCUUGACGGUACCUAACCAGAAAGCCACGGCUAACUACGUGCCAGCAGCCGCGGUAAUACGUAGGUGGCAAGCGUUAUCCGGAAUUAUUGGGCGUAAAGCGCGCGCAGGUGGUUUCUUAAGUCUGA
rnacentral:rRNA from 1 species